rnacentral:rRNA from 1 species
GAUGAACGCUGGCGGCGUGCCUAAUACAUGCAAGUCGAGCGAACAGACGAGGAGCUUGCUCCUCUGACGUUAGCGGCGGACGGGUGAGUAACACGUGGAUAACCUACCUAUAAGACUGGGAUAACUUCGGGAAACCGUAGCUAAUACCGGAUAAUAUAUUGCACCGCAUGGUUCAAUAGUGAAAUACGGUUUUGCUGUCACUUAUAGCUUGAUCCGCGCCCAAUUAGCUAGUUGGUAAGGUAACGGCUUACCAAGGCGACGAUGCGUAGCCGACCUGAGAGGGUGAUCGGCCACACUGGAACUGAGACACGGUCCAGACUCCUACGGGAGGAAGCAGUAGGGAAUCUUACGCAAUGGGCGAAAGCCUGACGGAGCAAAGUCGCGUGAGUGAUGAAGGUCUUAGGAUCGGAAAACGAUGUUAUUAGGGAAGAACAAAUGUGUAAGUAACUAUGCACGUAUUGACGGUACCUAAUCAGAAAGCCACGGCUAACUACGUG